CCUUAGCAGUACCUACAUCUUACUGUGGACAGUCCUACUAUUAGGCUGUAGAACCCCCUAGUGUCUUGGUUCCAUUUGGAGACCUCUAACUCAGAGUGCAGAAAGCAUGUUUGUAACUGUAAUCCUGUUGGGGGAAAAAAAAAAAGCAACCCGUUUUCUCCGUUGUGCACCCAGAAGGCGGCAUUUCAUCAAAGCCAACAAAAGCAGGAUUUUGUGCAGUUCUGAGUACAAAACCAGAAAAAAGUUGUAAGUUGUAUAACAAAGCCUAUUGCAGCCACUCUCUGUCGUAACACACCCUUAGUUCAUCCCGUAAGUAAAAGCCUUUGUGGUGGUUUUAGUUACCUU